AGAGUUUGAUCCUGGCUCAGGAUGAACGCUAGCGAUAGGCCUAACACAUGCAAGUCGAGGGGCAGCAUAAAAGUAGCAAUACUUUGGUGGCGACCGGCGCACGGGUGAGUAACGCGUAUGCAACCUACCUAUCAGAGGGGAAUAACCCGGCGAAAGUCGGACUAAUACCGCAUAAAACAGGGGCACCGCAUGGUGAUAUUUGUUAAAGAAAUUCGCUGAUAGAUGGGCAUGCGUUCCAUUAGGUAGUUGGUGAGGUAACGGCUCACCAAGCCGACGAUGGAUAGGGGAACUGAGAGGUUGGUCCCCCACACUGGUACUGAGACACGGACCAGACUCCUACGGGAGGCAGCAGUGAGGAAUAUUGGUCAAUGGGCGGGAGCCUGAACCAGCCAAGUCGCGUGAAGGAAGAAGGAUCUAUGGUUCGUAAACUUCUUUUGCAGGGGAAUAAAGUGCAGGACGUGUCCUGUUUUGUAUGUACCCUGAGAAUAAGGAUCGGCUAACUCCGUGCCAGCAGCCGCGGUAAUACGGAGGAUCCGAGCGUUAUCCGGAUUUAUUGGGUUUAAAGGGUGCGUAGGUGGUUUGAUAAGUCAGCGGUGAAAGUUUGCAGCUUAACUGUAAAAAUGCCGUUGAAACUGUCGGACUUGAGUGUAAAUGAGGUAGGCGGAAUGCGUGGUGUAGCGGUGAAAUGCAUAGAUAUCACGCAGAACUCCGAUUGCGAAGGCAGCUUACUAAGCUACAACUGACACUGAAGCACGAAAGCGUGGGGAUCAAACAGGAUUAGAUACCCUGGUAGUCG
rnacentral:rRNA from 1 species